rnacentral:snRNA from 1 species
ACGCUCUGGCUCGGUCUCAUAGCGAGCUAACCCUUCGCCUUUUACUAAAGGUUACCGUGGGAACGGGCCACCACGAGCCUAUA